GCAAACACGAAAGUGGACGUAUAGGGUGUGACGCCUGCCCGGUGCUGGAAGAUUAAAUGAUGGGGUGCAAGCUCUUGAUUGAAGUCCCAGUAAACGGCGGCCGUAACUAUAACGGUCCUAAGGUAGCGAAAUUCCUUGUCGGGUAAGUUCCGACCUGCACGAAUGGCGUAACGACUUCCCCGCUGUCUCCAGCAUAGACUCAGUGAAAUUGAAUUCCCCGUGAAGAUGCGGGGUUCCCGCGGUCAGACGGAAAGACCCCAUGAACCUUUACUGUAGCUUUGUAUUGGAUUUUGAACGGAUCUGUGUAGGAUAGGUGGGAGGCUUUGAAGUGAGGACGCUAGUUCUCAUGGAGCCGACGUUGAAAUACCACCCUGGUGCGUUUGAGGUUCUAACCCAGGUCCCUUAUCGGGAUCGGGGACAGUGCAUGGUAGGCAGUUUGACUGGGGCGGUCUCCUCCCAAAGCGUAACGGAGGAGUUCGAAGGUACGCUAGUUACGGUCGGACAUCGUGACGAUAGUGCAAUGGCAUAAGCGUGCUUAACUGCGAGACUGACAAGUCGAGCAGAUGCGAAAGCAGGACAUAGUGAUCCGGUGGUUCUGUAUGGAAGGGCCAUCGCUCAACGGAUAAAAGGUACUCCGGGGAUAACAGGCUGAUACCGCCCAAGAGUUCAUAUCGACGGCGGUGUUUGGCACCUCGAUGUCGGCUCAUCUCAUCCUGGGGCUGUAGUCGGUCCCAAGGGUAUGGCUGUUCGCCAUUUAAAGUGGUACGCGAGCUGGGUUUAGAACGUCGUGAGACAGUUCGGUCCCUAUCUGCCGUGGGCGCUGGAGAAUUGAGGGGGGCUGCUCCUAGUACGAGAGGACCGGAGUGGACGCAUCACUGGUGUUCGGGUUGUCAUGCCAAUGGCAUUGCCCGGUAGCUAAAUGCGGAAGAGAUAAGUGCUGAAAGCAUCUAAGCACGAAACUUGCCCCGAGAUGAGUUCUCCCUGAGACUUUAAGUCUCCUGAAGGAACGUUAAAGACGAUGACGUUGAUAGGUCGGGUGUGUAAGCGUAGCGAUACGUUGAGCUAACCGAUACUAAUGAACCGUGAGGCUUAACC
rnacentral:rRNA from 1 species